CUGACAUCCAUGCGAUGCAAGGACAGGAUGACAUUGAAAGGGUUUGAAAACAGAUCCUGGAAGGAAUGACUGAGCUAUUAUGCUGCUGGCUGAGAGGAGGUAACAUUGAUGGGUUUUCCAGGAUCCGGACCUGUCAUCUCUGGGGAACAUUUAGUCAGCUUACUGGAGAAAUGGAAACCACUCAUAGCUGUCCUGGAGAAUGAAGGGGACUUUGCCAGUUAGUUUGGAAGAAGUCUGGCUUUUAGCCCCACAGCUGAUUUCCACAGGUCCCCCUCGUGAGGAGCAGGAGUCAGGCUAACGAUCUGCUGACCUCACGUGGUGCUUGCAGAAGCCUAGUCCCCAACCUUCUGCCAAGGGAGGACUACCCCCCAGGGAAGCUGUCACAUAAAGAUGUGGCAUGUCUCAAGUCGCUCAGUCGUGUGCGACUCUUUGCAACCCCACGGGCUGUGGCCCACCGGGCUCCUCUGUCCAGGGAAUUCUCCAGGCAAGAACACUGGAGUGGCUUGCCAUUGCCUUCUCCAAGAUCUGGGAUACCUACCAGCAGGAGACCUAGAUAGACAUUUCUCCAAAGAAGACAUACAGAUGGCCAACAGGCCACACGGAAAGACACUCAAUGUCACCAAUAAAAGGAAAUGCAAAUCGAAACCACACUGGGGUAUCACGUCACACCAGUCAGAAUGGCUAUUAUUAAAAAGUCUGUAGAUAAUAAAUGCUGGAGAAGGGGUGGGGAAAACGGAACCUCCUACAUUGUUGGUGGGAAUAUAAGUUGAUGCAGUUACUAUGGAGAACAGUAUAGAGGUUCCUUUAAAAACUGAAUACAGAGUUACCAUAUGAUCCAGCAAUCCCAUUCCUGGGCAUAUAUCAAAAAGAUACUGGACCAAAGUUCAUAGCAGCACUACUUAGAAUAGCCAGGACAUGGAAGCAACCUAGAUGUCCAUCACCAGAUCAAUGGAUAAAGAUGUGUGAAGUAGCCCCUGGCCUGGGCCACGAUCACCACCCCAUGAGUGACCCUCAGCUGAGAACAGGACUUCCCUGGUGGCUCAGCUGGUAAAGAAUCUGCCUGCAAUGCAGGAGACAUGGGUUCAAUCCCCGAGUUAGGAAGAUCCCCUAGAGAAGGGAAAGGCUACCCACUCCUGUAUUCUUGGGCUUUCCUGGUGGCUCAG
ensembl:lncRNA